rnacentral:rRNA from 1 species
AGUUUGAUCAUGGCUCAGAGCGAACGCUAGCGGCAGGCUUAACACAUGCAAGUCGAACGAAGUUCUUCGGAACUUAGUGGCGAACGGGUGAGUAACACGUAGGUAAUGUACCCUUUGGUGGAGGAUAACUCAGGGAAACCUGAGCUAAUACUGCAUAUGUCCUUCGGGAUAAAAGUCUUCGGACGCCUUAGGAGCAGCCUGCGGCCCAUUAUCUAAUCCUAGUUGGUAGGGUAACGGCCUACCAAGGGUACGAUGGGUAGCUGGUCUGAGAGGAUGAUCAGCCACACUGGGACUGAGACACGGCCCAGACUCCUACGGGAGGCAGCAGUGGGGAAUAUUGCGCAAUGGGGGAAACCCUGACGCAGCCAUGCCGCGUGUGUGAUGAAGGCCCUCGGGUCGUAAAGCACUGUCGGGAGGGACGAAGAUCUGACGGUACCUCGCAAGAAAGCACCGGCUAACUCCGUG